GGCUGGAAAAUGGAUAAAGAUCAAACCAUGAGAAAUUAUGGACUCCAGGAAACAAACAGAGGGUUUCACAGGGGAGGGAGUCGCGUGAUGGGUUACCCGAUGGAGGAAAAGCUGCUUACUGUGUCACGGACUCUGAGCCCAAUCGGAAAUCCUGGGACUUGUCCUUGACUGGCCGCUGUGAAGGAAGAACAACAAUGGGUGAGGAAAGAUUCAGAGAAGACCGCACAGGCAAUUGUUAACAACUUUCGAAAUGAGAGCGCAUGCCUGUUCUGAACAUGAAUGUCUAUCAGCAUCGUGUAUUCACUACAAUGGAAAACCAAGGAACUGGUUCUCCAGAUCAUCUGAACACUCUUUCUACCUAAAAGUCAGUUUUCCGCUUUAAAUCAAGCAUAUCAUAAAAACAAGAAUAAAAGAAGAAGAAGAAGACUUGGUGGUGAAAGGUGGAUGUUGUAGCAAGUGACCCAAUUUCACAAAACAACAAAAGAACCAUAACAUCUUGAUUUUUCUCUACUGGUGAAGAUGAUCUGACUCAGUUCAAAUGUAUUUGGGAAAACAAGUACAAACACAUGAAAAACUCAAAUUCAAGGACUAAUUCAGGUUGCAGAAUUGUCUACCUGUUCUCAACUCAACAGAACAUGAUGCAAAGAAAAACCAUCAACACCUACACUCAGAGAGCAUCGUUUAUAACCGAAUCUCUUUAGUUUUCCCCCAGACUUAAGAAAUGAAUUCCAGACACAGCAAUUGAAUUAAUUUUAUUUUUUAC